GCUUACAUCCAUACCAUGCUGAGCAUGCCCGAGCUCAUCUGAUCUCAAAAGCUAAGCAGGGUCGGGCCUUGGAUGGGAGAACGCCUGGAAAAACCAGGUGCUGUAAGCU
rnacentral:rRNA from 1 species